rnacentral:rRNA from 1 species
CAACGUGGGUAACCUGCCCAUCAGAGGGGGAUAACAUUCGGAAACGGAUGCUAAAACCGCAUAGGUCCUUUAACCGCAUGGUUGAAGGAGGAGAAGAGGCGCAAGCUUCUGCUGAUGGAUGGACCCGCGGUGCAUUAGCUAGUUGGUGAGGUAACGGCUCACCAAGGCCGUGAUGCAUAGCCGACCUGAGAGGGUGAUCGGCCACAUUGGGACUGAGACACGGCCCAA